CUUAAGUUCUGCUUGCACAUACAAAAAACUUUAAAUUUUCAAAUUUAAAACAAACUAUAAAGUGAAAAAAUGGCUUUCAAAAUGUCAGGAUAUUUGGUAUUGAUGGUCGUUGCAGCGAUAGCGCUAACUAACGCUUCUCUGUCGUAUAAAACAUCUCUGAGAAACACCAAUUCGGUCGCCGUUGGUGAAAUCGGUGAAGAAAGGUCAUUGACUUAUUUGAACGAAGCAGAAUUGAAUGGACGAUGCUGCACACUCAGCGGCUGUGAGGAUUUAUGUACCUGUACGGAACUGGUGUGUUAUGCCAAUAGCACACAUUGUUGGUGUUGGUGAACGAACGGUUAAAAGUUGG